rnacentral:rRNA from 1 species
AACGAACGCUGGCGGCAUGCCUAACACAUGCAAGUCGAACGAGGCCUUCGGGUCUAGUGGCGCACGGGUGCGUAACGCGUGGGAACCUGCCCUUAGGUUCGGAAUAACUCCCCGAAAGGGGUGCUAAUACCGGAUAAUGUCUUCGGACCAAAGAUUUAUCGCCUUUGGAUGGGCCCGCGUUGGAUUAGCUAGUUGGUAGGGUAAAAGCCUACCAAGGCGACGAUCCAUAGCUGGUCUGAGAGGAUGAUCAGCCACACUGGGACUGAGACACGGCCCAGACUCCUACGGGGGGCAGCAGUGGGGAAUAUUGGACAAUGGGCGAAAGCCUGAUCCAGCAAUGCCGCGUGAGUGAUGAAGGCCUUAGGGUUGUAAAGCUCUUUUACCCGGGAUGAUAAUGACAGUACCGGGAGAAUAAGCUCCGGCUAACUCCGUG